GAUGAACGCUGGCGGCGUGCCUAAUACAUGCAAGUCGAGCGAACAGACGAGGAGCUUGCUCCCCUGACGUUAGCGGCGGACGGGUGAGUAACACGUGGAUAACCUACCUAUAAGACUGGGAUAAUUACGGAAAGCAGCUUACACUACUGAAGAAUACGUUCAACGGCUGGAUGCAGAGGUGAAUAGGGGUUUGCCUGUUUCUAUUAGCUGAUGCCGGGCCGCAUUAGCUAGUUGGUAAGGUAACGGCUUACCAAGGCAACGAUGCGUAGCCGACCUGAGAGGGUGAUCGGCCACACUGGAACUGAGACACGGUCCAGACUCCUACGGGAGGCAGCAGUAGGGAAUCUUCCGCAAUGGGCGCAAGCCUGACGGAGCAACGCCGCGUGAGUGAUGAAGGUCUUCGGAUCGUAAAGCUCUGUUAUUAGGGAAGAACAAAUGUGUAAGUAACUAUGCACGUCUUGACGGUACCUAAUCAGAAAGCCACGGCUAACUACGUG
rnacentral:rRNA from 1 species